UGGGGAAUUUUGCGCAAUGGGGGAAACCCUGACGCAGCAACGCCGCGUGAGUGAUGAAGGCCUUCGGGUCGUAAAGCUCUGUCAGAGGGAAAGAAGUGUAUGGUGGCUAAUAUCCAUUGUACUUGACGGUACCCUCAAAGGAAGCACCGGCUAACUCCGUGCCAGCAGCCGCGGUAAUACGGAGGGUGCGAGCGUUGUUCGGAAUUAUUGGGCGUAAAGCGCGUGUAGGCGGUUUUUUAAGUCUGAUGUGAAAGCCCCGGGCUCAACCUGGGAAGUGCAUUGGAAACUGGGAGACUUGAAUACGGGAGAGGGUAGUGGAAUUCCUGGUGUAGGAGUGAAAUCCGUAGAUAUCAGGAGGAACACCGGUGGCGAAGGCGGCUGCCUGGACCGAUAUUGACGCUGAGACGCGAAAGCGUGGGGAGCAAACA
rnacentral:rRNA from 1 species